UACGUAGGUGACAAGCGUUGUCCGGAUUUACUGGGCGUAAAGAGCGCGCAGGCGGUCGUUCAAGUCGAGUGUGAAAGCCCCCGGCUCAACUGGGGAGGGUCACUCGAUACUGAUCGACUCGAAGGCAGGAGAGGGAAGUGGAAUUCCCGGUGUAGUGGUGAAAUUCGUAGAUAUCGGGAGGAACACCAGUGGCGAAGGCGGCGAUCUGGGCAGACACUGACGCUGAGGUGCGAAAGCGUGGGGAGCAAACAGG
rnacentral:rRNA from 1 species